rnacentral:lncRNA from 1 species
UUGCUUUAGAGCACAAACACUAGCCGUCCCUUAAUUCCCCACCGGCUCUGCUGCUCGUCGCCAGCCGGUCUCCAAACAACCCCAAAUUUACACCACAACAUUCCAUCACCCUCCUCUUUCUAAAUUCCGAAAUCCUUGCCCAUAAAUCAUUGCCAAUCUCCUCGAAUAUGGAAUUAAAACUUCGGCCAAAAACACUACUUCCUCCAAAUCAAACCAAAAUCACAUACUAUAGCCUCCUGGACCUCCUCAUCCCGAAUCCCAAACCAAAACCCUUCAAAUCCAAGUGAAACCCCGUGAAUUUCAUAUCUAGGGUUCAAAAGUUCAACUUGCUUUGGGAAGUUUCGAGUAGCCGAGUAAUUUUUAAUUAAUAUUAUAUGUCUUUUUUUGACGAAAUAGACAAAUAACAUUAACUGAAAAUCAAUUUCGAGAGUCAAUCAAGAUGAAGACCAAAAUCACUAAGGUUUUUCUUAUUUUAUUACUUCUUUUUGUUAUUGAUUCUAUUUUUGUGAUUUUUUUAUUUUAGUUUAACCUUUGUUUUGAAUCUGUUUGAUAUGUGUUUUGGUUUCAAUUUAGUGUUUGUUGCUAUUAGUAUAGUCUUUAAUUCUUUAUUAUUUGCUUUAGUCAAUCCCGUUUAGGCAUCGUUUGAUUUUAAUUUUUCAGUGUUUGAUUUAAUUCCUUAUUAUUGCUAUUAGUUAGUUUUUAAUUAGCUUAGUUUGUUUAGAUACAGCUGAAACAGAUUUGUUGGUUUAACUAGAGUCAAAGUCUGACUAGGGUAAAAGGCUCGCUAGACUUAAUAAUUUCAGGGGAAGUCAGGGGUAGUUUAGGUAUUCAUGAUUGUGUAGGAAUGUUGUAGUUGAAGCUAGAACCUUCUAUAAUCUUCUACACUAGGACUGUAAUUGAAAUAUCCUUAAUUUAGGGUAGUAACUUGAGCAACAAGCUAACAAAUAAGGGAUUAAUUAACUAAAAGCUGAAAAUAAAAGAGGAACUAAAGGGUAAAAUAAAAAUCUUAGGGUUGCCCUUAGUUUUGCCUAUAUAAAAACAGUCUCUAAUACCUUAAUGGAGAAGUUCUGGCAUUUGAAACNNNNNNNNNNNNNNNNNNNNNNNNNNNNNNNNNNNNNNNNNNNNNNNNNNNNNNNNNNNNNNNNNNNNNNNNNNNNNNNNNNNNNNNNNNNNNNNNNNNNNNNNNNNNNNNNNNNNNNNNNNNNNNNNNNNNNNNNNNNNNNNNNNNNNNNNNNNNNNNNNNNNNNNNNNNNNNNNNNNNNNNNNNNNNNNNNNNNNNNNNNNNNNNNNNNNNNNNNNNNNNNNNNNNNNNNNNNNNNNNNNNNNNNNNNNNNNNNNNNNNNNNNNNNNNNNNNNNNNNNNNNNNNNNNNNNNNNNNNNNNNNNNNNNNNNNNNNNNNNNNNNNNNNNNNNNNNNNNNNNNNNNNNNNNNNNNNNNNNNNNNNNNNNNNNNNNNNNNNNNNNNNNNNNNNNNNNNNNNNNNNNNNNNNNNNNNNNNNNNNNNNNNNNNNNNNNNNNNNNNNNNNNNNNNNNNNNNNCCCCCCUCACAAGUGUUCUACAAGUUUAACAAUCUGAAAAAUUGAAUUUCAAAAGUUCAAAUCAGCCUUAUGGGUUUUAGAGAGAAAAAUAGUGCAAAGUUCUGACUCACAUCCAAAAAUUACUGAAAAUCACUGGAAAAAAAAAUCCAAAAACUUUCUACUAGGGAAGAGAUUAGUUUGAAUACAAAUCAUUAGUUCCUAGAAACCAAAAAAUCCCAAAAAUCAACAAAAAGCACAGUAUAGAAAGCACUUCCAGAUCUGCUGCUUAUUCAAAUUGCACCGUUUCAUCAAGUUUGAUCUUCAAAUUCAACUGAUUAUUAGUUGUUGGAAGUUGCUUUGGAGUCUACUGCAUUGUACUUGGUUUUCCCUGGGUUUAAACUUGGAAUCUGUUGAGAAUUGUUGAUAUUGCACAUGCUGUUGCGUUUUUGCUUGGCUGACCUCUGUUUCUCAACAUUUUGUUUCAAUUUUCACGUACAAGUUCUAAACCAUGGUGAUGUAGUAUCUGAUUUGAGAAUUUGAAAUAGAAAUCCUAUAACUCUUUGCCUGAUGUUUCUGUUAUCCGCAUUUAUUCAACUUAACUAUUUUCUUAAUUGUAGUUUUGAUUAGUUUCAGUUUUGGAUAUUAUGUCGAUUUGAAGUUUAAAAAAAGACUAAGUGUUAAUUAGAAGUAGAAUUUUAAAAUGAGCUUGUGUAUCUACAUUGAUAUUAUGAGUAUUAAGUUUGUGCUUCAGCUUCAAUAGGGAUUUUAAGUUUACAAUUGAACAAGUAUGUUAGUAGCUUUGCUUAUGUGAUGUUCCACAAUAAAUUUUGAUUACGUUAGUGGCAUCAUUAGCUUCUCCACAUAUUUGUAGAACUUUGUCGAUCUGAGAGUGAUUAGAACUUAAAAUCUGGAAUUAAUUUGGCAAUUACCGACUUGAACAAAUAUGCAAUCUUCCUAUUUGAUGGAUUUAAUUUUAGAAAUGGGAACAGUGGCUUUGAGAGCCUGACUGUCCCUUGUACCAGCCAGUAGGCCCAGUUUAAAAUGUGGUAUUGCUGUAUGGGCUUUCUGUUUGGUUAAGGCUCUACAACCUACUCGAAUUAGUUGGGCCUUGAUCCCACUAUCGCAUGGCCCAAUCCCCAUUCUGGACUGCCUUCUAGUUUGGGUUAGUGUCGAGGCCAAGGCGGAUAGCAGUCUACAAAAUGAAUUGAUAUUACUGUUAUUUUGUUGGGACAAGUUCAAAAUUUCAAUGUUGAAAGCCUGAAGGCGUAUUCAAUCUGAGAUUAAUUUUGUAACAUCGGAUUUUGGGCAUUUUAAGCAAUCAGGCCUUUAGAGACAACCCAAUAGGAAAUAAUAGUUCGAUUUAGAAUAUCCUUAAAUAAAAAUAAGAUGCGCCGCACCAAACAAAAUUCAUAAAAUAGUGUGGGACUCCUAAUUGUUUUUUAUAAAAAAAAAUAUUUAGACCUAGGGACACGCCAUUUAGCGAAUUUCAUACCUUCCCACAAAGUUAAUAAUACGCUAGUUGCUUUAGGCCAGUCUUUUCAUAAAUUACCUUCCUAAACUCGGGUGCAUAUUUAUAUGACCCAAAUCCAAAUCCCAACGAAGUUGAAAUGUAUCAAAAAUCACACCCGGGGUGCUUUUAUGUGACGUGGUUCGAGACAUGUUUUAACGACAUUGCAAUUCUCUUCAAAUAUCAUAAUAAAAGCGGUUUAAAGUUAAAAGCACAUAGGUUAAAACAUGUUUUAAAAAGCCAAAUGUAACAGUUGAGAGAUCGUGCUAGAACCACGGGACCCGGAAUGCCUAACACCUUCUCCCGGGUUAACAGAAUUCCUUACUCGAAUUUUUGGUUUGCAGAUUGUUAAAUAGAGUCAAUAAUUUCCUCGAUUCGGAAUUCAACCGGUGACUUGGGACACCAUUAAUCUCCUUAGUGACUACUUUGAAUUUUUAACAAUAAAUCCUAUUUCGAUUGUCUUUUAGUUGAAAAAUUCCUUUACACCCUUAUGGGGUGUAGGGAAAAAGAGGUGUGACAAGAGGGUCGCAUGGGUGGACUAGUUCACGGUCUUCAGAGGGAUGAGUGGGUGGAGAUGUUGAGUUUGUUGGGGUUGGAGUAGAUGAGUCCCGUGGUGGGGCAUGAAAUGGGCAUGCUUUGGUAUUAUGGCCAAAGCACCCACAGCGGAUGCAAAGGAUAUUUAAUCCUUCAUAUAGAACAACUUGCUUGUGAUUACCAAUGUAGAUAUGGGUUUUCAAAGGUUUUUCAAGUGGAAUUUCAAUAUAAAUACGAGCAUAUCUAUCACAUGGAGUAGACGAAGUACAAGCAUCUACUUUAAGUAGAUUGCCUAGUUUGUUUCCACCUAACUGUAAUAGCGAGAGAUCAUAGUAUUCCGAAGGUAAUUCAGGAAGUCUAUCCCAAAUGGCGGAGUACGCGAGUUGGGCAGUGGGCGCUACGAAUUUUGGUCCCUGACGACGCACAAUAAGAAAAUGGCCCAAGAUAAACCAUGGCCCGUCAUGCAGCGCAUAAAGCAUAUUAUUCUCCUGGAUGAAUUUAAUGAGGAAAAAAGCAUGGCCAAGAUUAAAAAGAUUGAGAGGUUGGGAGGGUCUCCAAAGAGUUUGGAGUUUGGAUUUGAGCAUUUGGUGCCCAAUGAAUUUACCAAAUAAUUUGAUGAUAAUGGAGUUUUUCCCAGGGAUUUACAUAAGAAGGAACUUUGUGGUGAGAAUUCUGUAGCGUCCUCAACUUGCAUUGCAGAGUGAUCUGGUGGGUCUAUUGUGGUCAUGGCAUCAUUGAUUGUGAGGGUAGUGAUGGGAGAAUGUCUUGAUCGAAGGAAACAGAUGAAGGUCUGUAGGAAAGGAAAUUGGGGGAGAAAAUUGAGAGCAUUUCAAAGUAGGGAAAUGAGCUCUACACUGUUCUCGAAACAGUAGGAUUGUAAAAUGAAUUAGCACCUUCUAUUGAUAAACUUUAGGUCAUAUCCUUAAGUUCAUGAGUGAAGUAUACAUAUUAAGGAUAAAGUGUCCUGAAUUAGCACUCUCUAUAGAUAAACUUUAGGACAUCAUAUCCUUAACUUCAUGUGUGUAGUAAAUAUUAAGGACAAAGUGUCUUGAAUUAACACAUUCUAUUGAUUUUAAAAAAUAAAUGCCUUGUAAAUUAUCAAACUUCAUGAUAAAUUACAUAACAAUAUUUGAAAGCUCAAGGGAGUAUAUUUUGCUACUAAUUUUUUGAGUGCACAAUUUGUAUGAAUUUUUUCUCACAUCAUUAUCCUCAAUAUAAAUAUCAAUUUUUCCCCAGAAAAUUAAAAAUAAUAUCAAAGUUAUAAAGCUCAACAUUCUAGAUAGUUGGUCCUCAAUUCGUAAUUAGUUGCUUAUAAGUUCAGGAUAGUUAGUCCAAAUCUUAAAGUUAGAAGCUCAAAAAUUUAAGACACUUAGUCCUGAACUUAAAGUUAGAACGUUAAAAGUUUAAAUAUUAGGGACAUUUAGUCCUCGAUUCCUAAUUAGCAGCUUAUAAGUUUAGGACAAUCAGUCCUGAACUUAAAGUUAGAAGCUCAAAAAUUUAGGACACUUAGUCCUUAACUUAAAGUCAGAAGGUUAAAAGCUCAAAAAUUCAGGACACUUACUCUUGAAUUUAAAAUUAUGAAGCUCAUAAAUUCAGUCCUUAAUACCUAAUUAGAAGUAGAAAGUUCAAGACACUAAUGUAAGCAAAAGUAACAAUUUAGAAAUAGUGAAUACUUUUAGGGACUUACACUUUUUUGCGAGCUUUCCUUUUCUCCUUGCCCAACCACACAAUAAAUUUCUUUAAUAAGUUUUCAUCAUCUUGGCAUAAUGAAAAAUACAUUUACGAGUAUAUUUUGAUUUUAUCCAGCAUGUAUACUCGGCAGUAUUCUUAUUGUGCACCAUCAAUGUUCCCCUUUUGUUUGCAAUUGCAAACUAAGCUUCUUAUUUCUUUUCCAUCUACCAAGCUCUUCUUUAGCAUUUCUUUCAACAUCCAUGGACCAACCUUCAUUAACACUCCCUUGUGUAGUCAAAGGAGUAGGAGUAAGAAUGGCAGAUGAUGGACCAUCAAAACUAAUAUUAUCUUUCUUUCUUUUACUAGUGUAUUGGUUAAUAACUGCAUUUUUGUUUUGCUCUGCAAGCAAAACUGUAUAUAUUAGUUUGGAUACAAGACCUCAAUCCAAGACAUAUUGUCCAAUGAAGAAGUAAAAGUCAAGACAUAUUUAUAGAAAUAUUCUGACAAUUUGAAGUAUGAAUCUAAAAUUCAGGAAAUAUUUUUCUAAAAUGUCCUUACAUUUUGGAAUUUGAACAGAAGAAAUUAAAAUUCAGGACAUAAGAUUCUGAAGUUCAAGCUAAUCUAAUUAUUAAAAAAAAAAGAAUUUAAUACAUGUGUUGUCAUUCCUAUCUUCUUCUAUUUCUUUAAGAAAGAAUAGUGCCGAGAUAUUAUUUAUGCUUGUUCCAACCAUUACAUUUUCUUUAUCUUGAAAUUGUGCUCCAUUUUCUUAAAUUGCAACUUCACAAGAUUUUGCAACAUUUAUAAGAGCAAACAUAAUUAGUACUUGUUAGUAAUUCCCGACUAAAGCAAACAUGUAUAAGAUCAACAAAAAUCCAUCUAACCUUUCGCAACUAUCAAGAUCAAGCCAAUUAAAUUAUUAUAAAUAUCAUUAUCUUGACUAGCAUCAUUUUGACCUCCAAAAUUGGCUCUAAGAUAAAGGGGUAUAGAGAUAUCAUAUGUUUCUUCCACACAUUUUCAAACAAUCUCACUUCUGCCAGAUCCUAAGGGAUUUUCUAUGUCAUGAGAUUGCCCUCCACUUGUAUCUUUUGAAUUUUCCUUAUCUUGAUGUUCUCCUAUAUCUUUAUUUCUAUAAUUUUACUCUACCAGUAAAAUUACAUAUACAAUAGUUUGGCUGUAACACCUCAAUUCCUCGACACGUUGUCUUAUGAAGAAAUUAAACGUCAGGACAUAUUUUUUGAAAUGUCCUAAUAAUUUAUAGUAUGAGUCUGUAAUGACCCGAUCGGUCGUUUUGAGCAAUUGCACUUUAGUCGUCAGUUUUCGGGCAUAACUAGCCAUGUAUGAUGUAUUAUGACUUAUGUCGGUUUUGAUUUUCAGGAUAAUCAGAAUAGAUUUGGAAGAACAAUUCUCAACUUAAAGCAUUAAAUUUGAAAGGUUUGACCAAGUUUUGAAUUUUAGUAUUCGAUCUCGGAUUAGAUUUUCAUGAUUUGGUUAGCUCCAUUAGGUUAUUUUGGUCUUGGGAGCGCAUUCGAAAUGCGAACUGGAGGUUCGUAGUAGAUUUAGGCUUGAAUUGGCGAAAUUAAAAAUAUAGAGUUUUCGGUCGGAAGUGAAAAUUUUAAUAUCGAGGUCGGAAUAGAAUUUCGAAAGUUGGAGUAAGUUCGUAGUGUUAUUUGUAAAGUGUGUGGAAAAUUUCAGGUCAUUCGGAGAUGAUUUGAUAGAGUUAUGCGUCGUUUAUGAAAUUUGAAAGUUCAUAAGUUCUUAGGCUUGAAUGCGAGAUUGAUUUGGUAAUUUGAGUGAUUCAAAGACUUGACUAAGUUUGAAUGAAGUUAUGAGAUGUUUUGGCAUAUUUGGUUGAGGUCCCGAGGGCCUCGAGUGUAUUUUGGAUGCCUAACGGGACAAUUUUGGACUUGAGGAGUAGUAGUUUUGCUGGUAUUUUGUUGCAGACGUUUUCUUCUUCGCGAUCGCAUAGAUGCGUUUGCGAUCGCUUAGGCUUAGCCAGAGGUGAGAUUUGUUCUAUAUGAUCGUAGACUUUAGGAUGCAAUUACGAAUGGAUGUGAUAUUGUGUUUCACGAACGCGUGGCCAGGGUCACAUUCGCGUAGAAAAGAGUGGGCCGGUGAGAAGUGGAGGGGAUUGUUCCAUGUGAUCGCGUGGGAAAAGCCGCGAUUGCGUACGUUUGCAAAGCAGUGCUUCGCGAUCGCGUAAGGUAAGUUGAGGAGCAGUUCAUUUUUGUACUUCAUGAUCACGAGGUAAAUUUUGCGAUCGCGAUAAAGGAAAAACACCUAGGCAGAAAGUAUAAAAAGGCCAUCUUCGUGAUUUUUAGCUCAUUUCUCACCAUUUUUGGACAGCUUUGAAGCUUUUUGAGAGAAAUUGAAGAGGGACUCGAGGGGAAACACUUGGAGGUAAGAUUUUUGAAUUCAAUACUCAAUUCUAUGGAAAUUUCUUGCUGAUUAGCUAUGAAAUUAGUGGGAUUGAAGGGUUAAAAUUGAGGGACUAGGGCUUGAAUCGGAGAGUUUAAAUUGGAGAUUUGAGGGGUCAUUUGAGGUCUGAUUUUGAUGUUCUUGGUAUGUAUAGACUUGUGGGAGGAUGCGGAUUCUAUUGAUAUGAUUAUUAUCAGAUUUCGAGACGUGGGCCCGGGGGUCGGGUUUGGCCCAUUUUGGAAUUUUUGGGUUAAUUUGAUUAUUUUUGCUUAGGCUUUGUUCCUUUAGCAUAUAUUGAUGAUAAUAUACUGAUUUUAGUUAGAUUCGGAGCAUUUGGAGGCCGAAUCGAGAGGAAAAUGCAUCGUAGGUUAGAGUUUGGACUGGUUGAGGUAAGUAAUGAUUGUAAAUGUUGUCCCGAGGGUAUGAAACCCUGGAAUUUCACUUUGUUUCACUACUUUGAGGUGACGCACACGCUAAACGACGAGCGUGGGAUCAUGCGACGUUGGGAAUUGUGACUUGGUCCGUCUCGUACGACUAUUAUGCCACAUAAUUGAUUGAAAACUGUUUGGUAUUAUUGUGUUUUGGAAAAUAUUACUAUGCUUUGGACGGAUGCCGUAUUUGGGCCUCGUGCCAACUGUUUGGACUCUUUGGGGCUUUCUUUACUGAAAUUCCUUACUGUUUUGAUUUAAUAACUGUACACUCAGUCUAUGUUUUACUGAUUUCAUAACUCAGUCUUAUUAACUCCGUUUUGAUACUUUAAAUGAUAUUUCGACUGACCAUCAUGUUUUACUGUAGCCCGAGUGGCUUGAAAGGUUUAUGACUGAGUGAGACCGAGGUCUUGUGUUGUGAGGAUAUCAUAGGAUCGGGUUGCGCGCCACGACAUAUUAUACUGAUUUGUGAUAUAUGAUAGGCCGAGGGCCUGAUUGACUAUGCCACGAGAUGGCUUGUUAUAGCGCUUGGGUUGUAGGAUCCCUAUGGAGUCUGAACACCCCAGUGAGCGUGGGUACCCAGUGUGAGUGAAGUGUAGCCCGAGGGCCUUUUAUUGAUUUAUGUUGUGCCCGAGGGUUGAUUACAACUGAUUGUGAGAAGCCCGGGGGGCUGGUUCUUUUGAUAUUUUGCCCAAGAGGUGGCUUAUGAUUCAUUAUGCCCGAGGGGCAUUAUACGAGUGAGUUUUUCCCGAGGGGCUGACUAUGUUUUCAUUAUUUCUACUCACUGUUUCAUCACUUGUUUAAAAAUCGCUUAAAGAUGUUUUAAAAAGAUUUUACACAUCUUCAAAUGAUUUCUACCUCAAAUUAGAGUUCUAAUGAAAUAAUUUGAUUUAUAUACUAUUUUGGAGACAGAAUGUACUUACUAUGGUAUUAUGACGUGGAUUAUAUGUUUUCUUACUACUCAGUCUUUAUUUACUCUCAUUACUCAUUGUAUUGGCGUACUCACAUUACUCCCUACACCUAGUGUGUAGAUUGAGGAGUUGCGGAUCGCGUGAUAGUGAGAUUUGAUUAUUCAUUCAGCAGGUAUCAGAAUCUAGGGGUGUGCAUUCGAUUUAUCGAUUCGAUUUUGACCCUUAUCGAUAAUUAUUUAUCGAUUAUAAAUUUGAACAUAUGCUUAUCGUUAUCGUUUCAAUAAGGUUUUGAUGUUUUUCGAUUUCGAUUUAUCGAUUUUUGAGGCUUAUCGAUUCGGUUAUCGAUUACACCAAUAANNNNNNNNNNNNNNNNNNNNNNNNNNNNNNNNNNNNNNNNNNNNNNNNNNNNNNNNNNNNNNNNNNNNNNNNNNNNNNNNNNNNNNNNNNNNNNNNNNNNNNNNNNNNNNNNNNNNNNNNNACUAAUAUGGACAAAAAGAAGCUAAAAUAAGAAGAGCAUCGUUUAUAACAUAAAUAUUGUGUCAACAAGCACAUGAAACGAAAUUAAAGUAAGGGAUCAAUGUAUGCCACCAACACUGCAACGGUAUAAAAAAUAAAAUAUAUCAUCACAGCUAAUUUUAUUUUCCAUUAAUUUGAACUUUAUUCACUUGAGCUUUAAAUAUGAUCAUUUCUUAAAUGUGGUAGAGGAAAUAAUAGCGCUAGGGACUUAGGGUAAAGGAAAUGGUAUUAUAAAAUAAGGGUAAAAUUUCUUCUUUUUUUUUAAAAUAAAAAAAUAGUGUAUGUUAUCGGUUUAUCGAUAAACCGAUAAACCGAAAAGGACAGAAUCGAAAUCGAAAUUGAUAACUCGAUAAGGAUAAUUUUGAAAUCGAUAAAUCGAUAACAAAUAAUCGAUUCGAUUUAUCGAUAAACCGAUUCGAAUGUACACUCCUAUCAGAGUAGACAAGGUAGCUGCAUGACAUUCGCAUCCAUGUCCUUCUCCAUUAUAUUUUCCAUAGAUUUAUUUAGUAUGAUCUUCCAAUCUUGUUUAUACUUUAUUGUACUGAGACAAAGUUAUGUUGUUUGUGACUUGUGACACCCCAAUAUCGGGCUUGUGUAUUUAUUCCGCACUAAUUAUCUAGGCUUAUUUUAUGAGAUUUCUUGUUAAUUAAUAGCUUAAAAAUGACUAUUAUAGAAUAAUGGUUUGAUUUGAGAAUUGUGUCGGCUGACCUAGUUUCACGAUAGGUGUCAUCACGAUCGGGUCGGUUUUAGGAUCGUGACAAGUUGGUAUCAAAGCCUAGGUUACAUAGGUCUCACGAUUCAUUAGCAGGUUUAGUAGAGUCUCGCGGAUUGGUACAGAGACAUCUGUACUUAUCUUCGAGAGACUGUGGAACCUUUAGGAAAUCCCACAUUCUUGAAUUCUUAUCGUGCGAGAUUGAUUCAGCUUGAAAUGUAACUCUUUGAAUUCAUUCCACGUGUUUGUAUGCGCGCAUGAGCGCUUGGUAUCAGCUAUGCAUCGAUGACUUGUGUUUCUAUGAUCUAAGGACGAUGUUACACCCCAGAAUAUUAUGUUAGUAUUACGUUCCACAGUAUUAUAUUACGAUAAUAUUAUGCUCUGCAGUAAUAUUUUACGAUGGUGUUACGCACUGCAGUAAUAUAUUAUGAUAAUAUUACGUCCUGCAGCAUUAAGUUCCAGUAUUACAUUACGGAGAUGUUAUACUGCAGUUACGAUAGUGUUGCACCCUGCAGUAUUUUAUGUUGAAUUUGUCGUAAGGUAAUUGACAUCAGUCCAAGAAAAAAAUUAUCCGGGGAUUAUAAAGAUUAUGAUAUUUCACAAGUGAUUAGUAAAUUCAUGAAGGUGAAAGGGGGAUCAAGUUUAAGAAAAUAAAUUUUGUCAAAGUUUGACAUUUUGGGAUAAAAUACAACCCGAGCUAAAAUACCCAUUAUUUAUGAAUUAGCGCCAUACAAGGUACUAAGGUAUAUAAGGUAUGUUAAACGUGAUUAAUAUUUCAAGUAAAUGAAAAUAAUUUUCAAUUUUUCAGGCAAUUACUUAAUUACCGGAUAACAGGAUAUUACCUAAUUAAUUGAAAAUAUAUUUGGAUAAGACUAAUUCCACCCCUAUAACGUGGCAGCCACACAAGGAUUAAUUAAGGGACUAACCAUUUUGGUUGAAAGGUGGCAAGACUUACGACUAGCUUUAGGUUCUUUCAUUCUUAAGAAACAAGCCUAGCUUUACAAAUAUGUAGAAAAAUGAAAGAGAAAGAUAGUGACUAGAGAGGACGAAGAAACUUGGUCUAUUGAAUUUACCCAACAACAGCAGGAAAUGACUUGAACUAUUAAGUCUCUUAUAUUUAGCUAGAAAAAAUUAUUUAAAUUAGAAUUUGGUAAAAAGUUCUGUUAGUGAAGUUAUGUUUUGAAAAAGAAAAGUUUAUGAAAGUAGAAAAUCAAUGGGCGGGUGUAGAUUUUGAAACUUCAAACUAAAGUUCAACUUGAAAGUUUCUUUCAAAGUUCAAGUUUAGAUUUUGUUCCCAAUUUCACAAACACCAACUUGCAACGUGAAACAUCUAUAUGUGCAAGUGAACUCACAAAUGCCACCUUGGUGCUUUGAUACGUGACAAAACAGAAAAGGAGCUGUUGAUGCUUAUAAUAUGAGUUUUUCGUUAUAGGUUUUUGUCAAGAGAAUCAGUUCAGGUAUAUUAAGGCUAUCUUUGUUUUUUUUGGUAUGAUUCAUAUGAUACGAAUGAAAUGUGUAAAUGCACAAAUUUCAUGAAUGACGCUAUUUAUAGUAUUAGAGAUAUCUAUGUUCUUGAAUUUCCGCGUAUCAUAAUAUUUUAUUGUAUGUUCAUGGAUCUAAAAAAAUACGAAAGUUGAAAAGAAUUUACUUUAUGAUAUACUCAAAGGAAAAAUGGCCUUAUGAAGCUCCGAAAUUUUUAUUAAUGUUCUUUUCAUGCAUUGCAUUCAUGUGCAUUGAUCCACGACCAGAUGGCAUUAUAUACGCGUACAUAUACAUAUAUAUAUAUAUAUAUAUAUAUGUGUGUGUGUGUGUGUGUGUGUGUGUGUGUGUGAUAUGGAAAAAGUUACAGCGUUAUACACGCACCACCACCUGAUCAGCUGGUAUAUAAUAAUGAUGUUGCCCACAGUGGCUAAAAUAUAAUUCAAACGGCGCUAUAUAUGCGUAUAUAUGUAUAUAUAUAUAUAUAUAGCAUUUGGAGGCCGAAUCGAGAGGAAAAUGCAUCGUAGGUUAGAGUUUGGACUGGUUGAGGUAAGUAAUGAUUGUAAAUGUUGUCCCGAGGGUAUGAAACCCUGGAAUUUCACUUUGUUUCACUACUUUGAGGUGACGCACACGCUAAACGACGAGCGUGGGAUCAUGCGACGUUGGGAAUUGUGACUUGGUCCGUCUCGUACGACUAUUAUGCCACAUAAUUGAUUGAAAACUGUUUGGUAUUAUUGUGUUUUGGAAAAUAUUACUAUGCUUUGGACGGAUGCCGUAUUUGGGCCUCGUGCCAACUGUUUGGACUCUUUGGGGCUUUCUUUACUGAAAUUCCUUACUGUUUUGAUUUAAUAACUGUACACUCAGUCUAUGUUUUACUGAUUUCAUAACUCAGUCUUAUUAACUCCGUUUUGAUACUUUAAAUGAUAUUUCGACUGACCAUCAUGUUUUACUGUAGCCCGAGUGGCUUGAAAGGUUUAUGACUGAGUGAGACCGAGGUCUUGUGUUGUGAGGAUAUCAUAGGAUCGGGUUGCGCGCCACGACAUAUUAUACUGAUUUGUGAUAUAUGAUAGGCCGAGGGCCUGAUUGACUAUGCCACGAGAUGGCUUGUUAUAGCGCUUGGGUUGUAGGAUCCCUAUGGAGUCUGAACACCCCAGUGAGCGUGGGUACCCAGUGUGAGUGAAGUGUAGCCCGAGGGCCUUUUAUUGAUUUAUACGAUGAUGUUUUGCCCACAGUGGUCGAUAUGAUAUAAUGGGAUACCCCCAGAGGCCGACAAUGUUAUGAAUCAUGUAUCCAUGCACGACAUGACAUUCAUUAGCAUACACAUGAUGCUAAAAGCAUUUUAUGAUUUACAAAGUUAUUCAGACUUAUAGGUUGAGUCAUGUACUCUAUAUGUCUUCUAUAUCUCUUAUGUAUUUAUUUAUGUACCUUACAUACUCGAUACAUUAUUCGUACUGACAUCCCAUUCACCUGGGAACGCUGCGUUUCAUGCCCGCAGGUCCUGAUAGACAGGUCGAGAGCCCUACAAGUAGGCUAUUAGCUCAGUGAAAGAUGUUGGUGUGCUUCAUUUGCUUCAGAGUUUCUCGUCUGGUUAGUGAGAUUUAGACGUGUAUUGUUUGGUAUGGCGGGAUUUUGUCCCGACCUUUAUGAUAUUUAUGUAUUCUUAGAGGUAGAUAUAUAUCGUGUACGUAAAAAGUUGUACGGCCUAUUAGACCCGUAUGUCAUGUCUGUAUGAUGAUGUAAUAAGAAAGAUAUGUUAUGUUAGUAUUCGGUUGAGUAAGGUACCCGGUGCCUAUUGCAGCCUAUCGGUUUGGGUCGUGACAAGCGAAAUGUGAUUUUUAUGUGUUAAUGUUGGGCCAGUCUGGAGGAUGUAAAGCCGGGCUCUGCUUGUAGCUUGAGCACUGAGGUGUUGAUUGUGUGAGCACGUGCUUCUGGAAUUAUAUGUUUGGUAGUGUCCUUAUUAGUGGAAGUGUUCAUAUGAUUUGAAUGUGAUGAGAAGGGUCUACUUGAGGGUAGAAAGAAAUAUCUGAUGCUUGAUUUCUAUCUUGAUUUGAUGUAUAGCCCCGAGUUAUGAGUGUGUGAAGGAUCUUUUCAUGAUGUUUAGUUGGGAAGUAAAGUAGAAUAUAUGUCGGGAUGUGAGUUCAGACUCAGGAAGAUUAAGUGAUUGCGUGAUGUUUAUGACGGUGGAAGGGUAUGAAGAGAUAUCAGUUUGAGGCAAAACAGAUGAGUUAUCUCCUGUGGGGUGUUCUGAGGUUUGUGUGAUACCUCUGUUGUUGGUUGGAAGUCCUCUUUACCAGUGAAAUAUGUGUGUUGUUGCAAUUUGAGCUUGGGUCGCUUAUGAGAGUGAGAUUGCUUGUUACGAGGAUGAAUGUGGGAUUUACAGAUGAUGUAAAGUACUAUAUGGUUUGUGUUGCACGAGCUUAUGAAGGAUUUAGUUUAAUCUCAUCAUGGUAUUAUGGCAGUAGUAGAAUAUGAGCAUUGUGAGUUCUGUCUAUUUUGACCUAUGGCUUUGAGCCAACUAGGGGAGUCCGCUAUUGAUUAGUUGAUGGGACGGUUAUGUGUUGUAUUUGUCUCAGUUUGAGGUAUACUAGUGAAUCGGUUGUGGCUUGCUGGGGUUGAGAUCAAGGAUGACUCGAGUAAAGAAAAUUUUAGUAAAGGUUAUGUUAUGCUUUAUGGGUGUACGAGAGUCACGGAAUGACUUAAGUUGUUAUUGGUGAAGGAUGUACAGUGCAUAGAACAUGAAUUUAUUUGGUUGCAUUAAGGUGAGGUUACUCCCACAGGUGUUUUUGUUCUAAUGGGGCAUAGAUCGUUCGGUUCAUUUGAUCAUUCUAGAUUUACAUUAUUAAAUGGAGAUCUUCAGGAUGUAUAUUUGGAUAGGAACGGGGUUUUACAUUGGAGGGUGUCAAGAAUUGUGGCAUUUCUACAUCGAUUAUGGGAUUCUCCAUAUCUGUAUCAGGAAGGUGAAGAUAAUGGCUUUAGAUUCGCAUGAUCCGGGUAAGUAUUUUUGAUGUGGUGCUUUUGGGGAUAGGGAAGAGGUAUUUGGUGGUAUAUGAGCCUUAGGGCAGUGUGGUUUUAUGCUAAAGUUCAUGGGGAAAGUUUUAGUUAAGGAUAGUGGUGUACUAACAAGGAAACGUAUCAAUUUGAAGGUAAUUCUGAAGGAAAUCAGAGAAUUAGGAUAGCUUGGUAGUAGGUUGGAUCGACAUGGUAAUGGAAUGGUCUUGGAUCCUUAUGAUGCAGUGGGUUUCUAUAGGUGUUUCGUGGAAAUGCUCUUAGGUUAAUCGUUUGCGUAGCUUGGUUGAGUUAGAAGGAGUCAAUCCUGAUGGUUUGGUUUUGUGUAAAAGAGAUUCGGAGAGUUCUUGAUGAUUUCUACACAGAUGGAGGUGUACAUAUUCUACUAGCCUGAGGAGCAUGGGAUGUAUAGUGAUUUUAUCCUACAUAGGAUCAAAUGGAAAAGUUCUUAGCUGGUUGAGUACGUAGUUGCUUGUAGCUCAGAGUGUAUUAUGAACUACUCAUAUUUAUCAUAGGAUGGUAUGGCAUAUGUGGUAUGUUGUGUGGGGUUGAGAUUUGCAUAUGUAAGGCCACGAUUCAACUUUGAAAGGAAGUUCAUAAAUUCUUAGGCAGUAUGGACGGUUUCAGAUGACCAGAUAAAUGAGGUCACUGAUUGGUGUGGCUUGAUGAUGGUAUACAUCUUCAGAAAGAGCAAUGUGUUUGAGUUAAGGAUACUUCAUUAGUAUUGUGGCACUCUCUUGAUGGAUCUACUGUUGAUAUUCAAGUUUGCUUGGUAGGACAAAAGAAUUAUAGAAGUAUCCUUCAUGGAAGAAUCGAUUAUCAGAUGUGUCUUAGAUGUUUAGCAGUGGAGUCGGGAUCAAAUAUGGUGAUUCGUGUGCCUUAUGGAUUUGGAGACCGAGAGUUCUCAUAGACAUUUUAUGUUGUGGUUGUGGACUGCGUAUAUCGGUCUUGUGUGGUGACUAUUGUAGGUUUCGAGACUCGAGUGGAUAUUUUGUUGCUUAGUAUGGUGGAUUUUGAUGUGAUAUUGGGUAUAGAUUAGUGGUCUCCGUGUCAUCCUAUUCAAUACUGUUGCGCUAAGACGGUGACGUUGGCUAUUCCGAGGAUGCCACAGAUUGAGUGGCGAGGUUCGACGGGUUAUGUUCACAGUAGAGUGAUUUUUUUUUAAGACUCAGCUGAUGGUUGAGAAGGGUUGUAUUUCUUAUGUGGCCUUCGUAAGGGAUGUCAGUGUAAAGACUCCUACCAUUGAUUCAGUUCCGCGGGUGAGUUAUUUUUUGGAUAUGUUUCCUGCAGACCUGCCGGGCAUGCCGCCGGACAGGGUUAUUGAUUUAGAUAUUGAUUUGGUACCGGGCACUCAGCCUGUUUCUAUUCCAUCGUAUCAUGCAACACCGACUGAGUUGAAUGAGAAAAUUUAGGAAUUCCUUGAUAAGGCGUUCAUUGGUAGGCCAAUACGGAUGUGUGUUCUCCAUCAAGUCGGCUUUGUUAAAUUCGAGUUGUUAUUGUUGAGAGAUGUUCCAUUUGAUUAUUGUUGAGUUCAUUCGUGUUCUAGAGUGAUAUGUAAGUUACCUUUCCGUGUUGCAAGGCGUUAUGAUUUGUUGGUUAUAGACACAUAUGGUACGGUCCUAUUAGGGUCUAAUAUUGGAAUUCGAGCGGGAAGAGUAUUGGGUAUUUCUCGGUGGAUGGCAUAUUGGUUAUGUCCUUUUGGGUUCGUGUGGUGUUUUUGCAUUUGUUUCGCCAUGAUUAUGAUGAUCUGCUUUUAGUACUAGACAUCAAAUUGCGUGUGGUUGUUGAUUUUGAGCAUAGUACCUUGAGGUGUUUCAUGUGGACCAGUGUUUGGAUAGGGCCGCGCAUUGCAGCGAAGUUAUGUGGAAGUAUGAUCAUUCGGGUUAGAUCCAUAUAUUCUGGUUCUACGAUGUGUGAUGGGUUCUCUGCAUUGUGUUGUGAUAGUACUGGUGAGCUUGCGGUAAAGCUUUCUCAUUUGAGUCAUUUUUCCAUUAUUUGAGUACAUUUAGACUGUUGCUUAUUGGUGCGCGGAUUGACAGGUUGUGGAAUUAGAUUGUAUCGAUGUGUCGUGCCACUAGAUUAGUCGUGUUGGAUGAGAUGUUGGAAGGAUAAUAUCGGGAUUCGGCUUAUAUUUACGAUGGUCUUUGCCUAAGGAGAGGGAGCUCCACGACCGAUUGAUCUAAGGAAUGGUUAUGAAUUUCUUCUAGUUUCAUUCAUUAUUGGCAGUGUAUGAAAGUGUUGGAAUAAGGCUUUGGUUUGAUAAGAGGUUUUUUAUCGGAAUUAGGUUAUUUGAGCAGCUGAUGUGAUUAGAAGUUAUCGCUAUGAGUGUUUGAGUUGUGUGGUAUAUUAUGUGAUUUUCAUAUUGAACUGCGGUUAUGGCUUGAUGCAUCUUGUUCGGACUUAUUCAGUGUAGAUAUGAGAUUCUGAUCUUAUAAAUAGUUUCGCAAGUGGAAAAUUGAUUUUAAAGUUAUGUGCUAGGGUGAAUUGUGAAAUUUUAGUUAUGUUGUGUUAUCGGAUCUAUGUGGGAUAGGGUAACGUGGGAUCACCCCCGGGUAUAUGCAUGGUAAGAUUACACAUCGAUUUGAUCGGUUUUGGAACAACUCUGGGCACAUUCGAGGACGAACAUAUGUUUAAGUGGGGAAGAUGUAACGACCUGACCAGUCGUUUUGAGCAAUUGCACUUCGCUUGCCAGUUCUCGUGCAUGACUAGCCUUGUAUGAUGUAUUAUGACUUCUGCAAAUCGUCAGUUUUGGUUUUCAGGAUAAUCAGAAUAUAUUUGAAAGAAUAAUUCUCAGCUUGAAGCUUUAAAUUUGAAAUGUUUGACCAAGUUUUGACUUUUUAGUAUUCGAUCUCGGAAUUUAGAUUUUUAGGAUUUAGUUAGCUUUGUUAUGUGAUUUUGGACUUGGGAGCACGUCCGGAAUAUGAAUUGGAGGUCUAUAGUGGAUUUAGGCUUGAAUUGGCAAAAUUAGAAAUUUAGAGUUUCCGGUCGGCAAUGGAAAUCUUGAUAUCAGGGUCAGAAUGGAAUUUCAGAAGCUGGAGUAAGUUUGUAGUGUCAUUUGUGAAGUGUGUGCAAAAUUUCAAUUCAUUCGGAGGUGAUUUGAUAGGUUUCGGCGUCGCUUGUAGAGUUUGAAAGUUCAUAAGUUCUUAGGCUUGGAUCUGAGGUUGAUUUGCUGUUUUGGCAUUGUUUCGAGUGAUUCGAGGGCUUGAUUAAGUUUGAAUGAUGUUAUAGGAUAUUUUGGCAUGUUUGAUUGAGGUCCCCAGGGCCUCGGGUAUGUUUCGGAUGCCCAAUGGGACAUUUUUGGACUUGAGGAGUAGUAGUUUUGCUGGUAUUUUGUUGCAAACGUUUUGUUCUUUGCGAUCACGUAGAGGAGUUCACGUUCGCGUAGACUUAUUUAGGUAGAUGUGAGAUUUGUUCAAUACGAUCACAGAGUUUAGGACGCGAUCACAAAUGGAUGUGAUGUUGUAUUUCGCAAACGCGUGGCCAGGGUCGCGUUUGCGUAGAAGAGAGUGAGCUGGUGAGAAGUGGAGGGGAUUGUUCUAUGCGAUCGUGUGGGAAAGGCGGCGAUUGCGUGAGUUGGAAAAGUAGUGCUUCGCGAUCGCGUGAGUUUUUUCAUGAUCGCGUAAAGUAAGUUGCAGAGCAGUCCAUUUUUGUGCUUCGCAAUCGCGAGGUAAAUUCUGUGAUCGCGAUGAAGGACAAACACCUAGGCAGAAAGUAUAAAAGGCCAUCUUCGUGAUUUUUAGCUCAUUUCUCACCAUUUUUGGAUAGCUUUGAAGCUUUUUGAGAGAAAUUGAAGAGGGAUUCAAGGGAAAACACUUGGAGUUAAAGUUUUUGAACUCAAUACUCAAUUCUAUGGAAGUUUCUACUGAUUAGCGAUGACAUUAGUGGUAUUGAAGGGCUAAAAUUGAGGGAUUAGGGCUUGAAAUUGGAAAGUUUAAAUUGGGGAUUUGAGGGGCCAUUUGAGGUUUGAUUUUGAUGUUCUUGGUAUGUAUAGACUCGUGGUAGGAUAAGGAUUCUAGUAAUGUGAUUAUUAUCAAAUUUAGAGACGUGGGCCCGGGGUCGGGUUUGGCCAAUUUCGAAAUUUUUGAGUUAAUUUGAUUACUUUUGCUUGUGCUUUGUUCCUUUAGCAUAUAUUGAUGAUAAUAUACUGAUUUUGGUUAGAUUCGGAGCAUUUAGAGGCCGAGUCGAGAGGCAAAGGCAUCGCGGGUUAGAGUUUGGACCGGUUGAGGUAAGUAAUGAUUGUAAAUGUUGUCCCAAGGGUAUGAAACUCUGGAUUUCACAUCGUUUCACUACUUUGAGGUGACGCACAUGCUAGAUGACGAGCGUGGGGUCGUGCAAUGUUGGGAAUUGUGACUUGAUCUGUUUUGUACAACUAUUAUGUUGAGUAAUUGAUUGAAAACUAUUUGGUAUUAUUGUGUUUUGGAAAGUAUUACUGUGCUUUGACUGGAUGCCAUAUUUGGGCGUUGUACUAACUAUUUGGACCCUUAGGGGCUUUCUUUACUGAAAUUCCUCACUGUUAUGAUUUAAUAACUGUACUCAGUCAUGCUAUGUUUUACUGAUUUCAUAACUCAGUCUUAUUUACUCCAUUUUGAUACUUUAAAUGAUAUUUCAACUGAGCAUCCUGUUUUAUUGUAGCCCGGAUGGCUUGAGAGGUAUCUGACCGAGUGAGGCCAAGAGUCUGUGUUGUGAGAAUAUCAUGGGAUCGGUUUGUGCACCGUAACAUAUUGUACUGAUUUGUAAUAUAUGAUAGGCCGAGGGCCUAAUUUAUUAUACCACAAGGAUGUGAGGAUGAGGACCUGAUUGAUUAUGCCACGAGAUGGCUUGUUAUAACGCUUGGGCUGUAGGAGUCCUCUGGAGUUUGAACACCCCCAGUGAGCGUGCAUACCCAGUGUGAGUGAUGUGUAGCCGAUGGGCUUUUAUUGAUUUGUGUUGUGCCCGAGGAACUCAUUAUGAGUGAUUGUGAGAUAGUCCGAGAGGCU